GGGCUGGGGCUCAGUGGUAGAGUGCUUGCUUAGCAUGCCUGAGGCACUGGUUUCAAUACCCAGCACCACA
rnacentral:tRNA from 1 species